UCUUCUUUGUCUCUCCAUUUCCUUUCCAUUUUCCUUUCACACAUUCCUUCAUCCAUUUCAUCUUCUUUGUCUCUCCAUUUCCUCUCCAUUUUCCUUUCCAUCCUCUACUUUCAAGUUUCUGCAUUUUCAAGCAAAGAGAAGAAGAGAAGAAGAAGCCAUGAAGCCUCCUAGCCGUCAUCAUCCACCUUGUGUCGUGAAGCUUUGGAGCCUUGCUUUCAAGAUCCAAGACCAACGUCUCAAGCCUUCCACCAUUCAUCCUUCAUGGUGUACCCUCAAUCCCCGGCUAUAACGAUCCCUUCUUAUUCUAUACUGACAACUACAUUUUACAGGGUUAAAUUGCGCGCUUACUUUUAGCGUAACAUAAAAUUCGAAUAUUUCACCUUCAACAUAACUCAUAAACAUUAAUUCAUACCUAUAAAAUUAUGAAGAACGGCAAUCAACUCACAAACUCAUGUUUUUUUAUUAUGUUUUUAUACAUAUAUUCUAAAUGUCAAUUUUAUCCUUACAUUUAACAGAAAAAUUAACAGAAGUACCAAAGUGUCAAACAUAGUCUAACUUCAGGUACCAAACUGUCCCCUUUAAUAUAUCAGGUAUCAAACUGUCCAAGUAGCAAUACCUCAGGUACCAUAGGAGGAAUUUACCCAUCUUUUAUAUUAUGCUGCUUGAGGAGGCAACCUCUGUUCUUUGAUACUAAAAGACACCCAAGUUUUGAUUCUUUCAGAUAUGGAGUACCUUGGUUACACCAAUCCAAUGCAAUGCUCUGCAAAAUCCCUAAAAUUUUUGGGAAUUGGAAUCUCCGUAGACAAAUUUGAGGUAUAGUUGGCUGACUCAAUUUCUAGUAGCUGUGGCUUUCUUUGGCAUCAGAGUGAUUAUUUCUCGCCGGGGACCUUUGGAUCCAAAUCAGAUGGUUCGAAGUCGUCGAAACGCUCCAGCUACCAGAAGCUGGCUCAUAUUCUCAGCUUCUCCACCGCGUUCGGCGCUGCUCUCUGGGUCACUUGCAUCAAUUUAGUAAUCUGCAAAGCAAGAAGUUUCCAGCUUAUUUCGCCGUGGUGGGAGUUUUUUGUGCGAUAUCAAUAGCUUCAUUUGGGUAUUUGCAUCCAUGGAACUCUUCCUCUUUGGCAGACAAGUACUGGCUCGGCUUUUUGCUUGCUUCCUUGGCCUUCAAUCUCACCAAUUUGUUCGUCUUCACGCCCAUGAAUAUUGAGAUGAUGAACCAAAGGCAUAAGGUAAAGGGAAUAGAACAUUGAUGAGAUCUUGUGGUUUUCAUACCCAUUAAUUGUGAUAAGAGAUGCAAAUGGAUGGAAGGGGACACGGUUCAGAAGCAGAGGGAAAAAGAGAGAGACAAAUGAGGCAGAUGAUAAAGAAGUUAAGGGCAAAUUGGGAAUUUCCAUAUCUAAGGAGUGUGGUUUGUAAAAAUUGGUGUGCAAAUUUCAGUCCCCU